CUGGGUCCGCGGAAUCGGACUGACCCUCCAGUGCCUACUGAGCUGAUAUCAGUUCUCGUUGACCCACUGGCUCAGUUCAGCAGGAACAGGAGUGCGGCCCACGUCCACCGAGGAGAUGC
rnacentral:precursor_RNA from 13 species